rnacentral:rRNA from 1 species
UGUGGUUUAAUUCGAAGCAACGCGAAGAACCUUACCAAAUCUUGACAUCCCGAUGACCGUUCCGUAAUGGGAACUUCUCUUCGGAGCAUCGGUGACAGGUGGUGCAUGGUUGUCGUCAGCUCGUGUCGUGAGAUGUUGGGUUAAGUCCCGCAACGAGCGCAACCCUUACCUUCAGUAGCCAGCAGUUCGGCUGGGCACUCUGGAGGGACUGCCAGGGAUNNNNNNNNNNGCUGGGCACUCUGGAGGGACUGCCAGGGAUAACCUGGAGGAAGGUGGGGAUGACGUCAAAUCAUCAUGCCCCUUAUGAUUUGGGCUACACACGUGCUACAAUGGCGUAAACAAAGGGAAGCAAGCCUGCGAGGGUAAGCAAAUCUCAAAAAUAACGUCUCAGUUCGGAUUGUAGUCUGCAACUCGACUACAUGAAGCUGGAAUCGCUAGUAAUCGCGAAUCAGAAUGUCGCGGUGAAUACGUUCCCGGGUCUUGUACACACCGCCCGUCACACCAUGGGAGUUGGUAACGCCCGAAGUCAGUGACCUAACCGUAAGGAAGGAGCUGCCGAAGGCGGGACUGAUAACUGGGGUGAAGUCGUAACAAGGUAGCCGUAUCGGAAGGUGCGGCUGGAUCACCUCCUUUC